UACGUAGGGUGCGAGCGUUGUCCGGAAUUAUUGGGCGUAAAGAGCUCGUAGGCGGCUUGUCACGUCGGGUGUGAAAGCCCGGGGCUUAACCCCGGGUCUGCAUUCGAUACGGGCUAGCUAGAGUGUGGUAGGGGAGAUCGGAAUUCCUGGUGUAGCGGUGAAAUGCGCAGAUAUCAGGAGGAACACCGGUGGCGAAGGCGGAUCUCUGGGCCUUACCUGACGCUGAGGCGCGAAAGCUAGGGGAGCGAACAGG
rnacentral:rRNA from 1 species